rnacentral:rRNA from 1 species
ACGCGAGGAACCUUACCAGGUCUUGACGUCCUCUGACACUCCUAGAGAUAGGGCGUUCCCCUUCGGGGGACAGAGUGACAGGUGGUGCAUGGUUGUCGUCAGCUCGUGUCGUGAGAUGUUGGGUUAAGUCCCGCAACGAGCGCAACCCUUGAUCUUAGUUGCCAGCAUUAAGUUGGGCACUCUAAGGUGACUGCCGGUGACAAACCGGAGGAAGGUGGGGAUGACGUCAAAUCAUCAUGCCCCUUAUGACCUGGGCUACACACGUGCUACAAUGGAUGGUACAAAGGGCUGCAAGACCGCGAGGUCAAGCCAAUCCCAUAAAACCAUUCUCAGUUCGGAUUGUAGGCUGCAACUCGCCUGCAUGAAGCCGGAAUCGCUAGUAAUCGCGGAUCAGCAUGCCGCGGUGAAUACGUUCCCGGGCCUUGCACACACCGCCCGU